rnacentral:lncRNA from 1 species
AAACUAAACAACAUACAAGUAAUAUGAUUAAUGUUUAACCACAUACAUCCAUUCAACAUUUGAAUUCUAUUACAUUUUUUGUAUCAUUUCUUCUCUUUAUAUAUCAUAUGCUUACCAAAAUAAACCUUUACAUCUAACAUCAUUUUAACAUCUUUAAUACAUUUAUAUCAUCAAAAUACAAAAGAUGAUGUAAAGGGUAUGCAACUAAACCAAAAUAUG